UCCAUCCGUACCAUCAAAUCGCGUCGCCGAAAAAGUCGUAAUCGUGCCCUUUUCACAAUAGGGGUAUUCAGACCAGCCUUGUUAAAUCGUUAGUCGUUAUUCGGUAGUUUUUUACAUGUAUUUUGUUCUACCGAGUAACGAACUAUUCAUCUGGCAAGUUUGUUAAUUGUUUCGUUACUCGGUAAUAUCACAUCAGCUGUUUCUUGUUCGUUACUUUGUAAAUUUUUAACGGAAAAGUAAGUCUGGGGUUCGUUGGGGCUCUAUACAUUUUUAAAAGGGAAAAUAAAUUGGUGCUCACUUCUUGAAUUAGGAAAAUUUUUUGCAAAAUGAAACCUCGAAAGAAAAAAAGGCAGGAGAGCAAAGCCUCAAAAAAAGUGGAGUGGAAAAGAAAACCAUUUGGUUCUAGAAUAUUUACUAGAAAAUGUGGAAAUUGAGAAACCAAACGUCCAAUUGUACUACCAAGAAUUAAUUGAAACAACAAAUAUCGAUGCGACUAUGGAUGAAUAUAUAUAUCGAUGAACAUGUUGCGCUGCAAGGUUCGGUACUGGAAGCAGAUGUAUAAUAAACCGGUAUAAUAAGCGGCGCAAAUCGAAAGGUGCUGGAAUAGACGUUGGCGAUGAAGUUUCCUCAAUAAAAGGUAAACGCGGUUUGUUAAGAGAACAUUUUUUGGUUUUUUAAUAAUUCUCCGUUCUUUCAACAAAACUUUCACAAUUGUGUCCGAAUUAUGAACGGUUUUUGGUUCUAUUUGGGAGUAAAUCCGAAGCCAAUUGUGUUGUAGAGUUUGUUUUGUAUAAUAAUUUUUAAGAAUGUACAAGUGUAUCAAGAUGUGAUAUCCUGAAGUGAUACAACUUGUUAUAUGUAUAUAAAAAUGAAAAAUUAAUUUUUGAUUUAAUUAUAACUUUUAAACAGUAUUUGGAAACAUAA